CCGGCUCCAGGUCACGUGUCCAGGUCACGUGGUGCUGAGACACAGAAACCGCCUGGCAAUCAUUAACAACUGCUUACUGCCGGGGAGCAAAAUGCAGGUUUUAAAGACAAGAACGCUAUUUUUAUAAACAACCAGGACUGCAGUAGAAGAAAAUCUCUGCUUAACAUUGACCAGCCCGCUGCUGUGUAUAAACCGAUCCAAGAGGAACCAGUUAACCUGCUACGUGAACAAGAUUUCAGCAUCAAACUGUGGGCAGAUUCCCUUCCAGCUUCGAUGCCGCCUGUCGGAAGACACACCAUCAUUUACAUUUGUGUCACUACAAAAGAAACGACAUGCUUCCAGGUAAACUACGAAACGGUACUUCCUUAUCACACUGACGGCAAGAGGCAGCCCGACUUUCAGGAUGUUAAAAUGUGAGAGGAACGUGCAUGUUGGAAUAUUAUAAAUGAUGGGCCAUCCCAG